AAGACCUUGCGCUUUUGGAGCGGCCGAUGUCUGAUUAGCUAGUUGGUGGGGUAAUGGCCUACCAAAGCUUCGAUCAGUAGCUGGUCUGAGAGGACGGCCAGCCACACUGGGACUGAGACACGGCCCAGACUCCUACGGGAGGCAGCAGUGGGGAAUUUUGGACAAUGGGCGCAAGCCUGAUCCAGCCAUGCCGCGUGAGUGAAGAAGGCCUUCGGGUUGUAAAGCUCUUUCAGCCGGGAAGAAAAGGCUGCGACUAAUAAUCGCAGUUCAUGACGGUACCGGAAGAAGAAGCACCGGCUAACUACGUGCCAGCAGCCGCGGUAAUACGUAGGGUGCGAGCGUUAAUCGGAAUUACUGGGCGUAAAGGGUGCGCAGGCGGUUUUGUAAGUCAGAUGUGAAGUCCCCGGGCUUAACCUGGGAACU
rnacentral:rRNA from 1 species